GCAUCGGUGAUUCAGUGGUAGAAUUGUCGCCUCCCACGCGAUAGACCCGGUUUCGAUUCCCGGCCGAUGCA